rnacentral:rRNA from 1 species
AAUGAACGCUAGCGGAAGGCAUAAUACAUGCAAGUCGAACGGAUGUAGCAAUACAUUAGUGGCGCACGGGUGCGUAACGCGUAUGCAACCUACCUUCAUCGGGGGGAUAACUACCCGAAAGGGUGGCUAACACCGCAUAAUACUAUUGAGUGGCAUCACUUGAUAUUUAAAUCUGAGGAGGAUGAAGAUGGGCAUGCGUCUGAUUAGCUAGUUGGUGUGGUAACGGCGCACCAAGGCGACGAUCAGUAGGGGAACUGAGAGGUUGGUCCCCCACACUGGAACUGAGAUGCGGGACAGACUACUAAGGGAGGUAGCAGUAGGGAAUAUUGGUCAAUGGUGGUAACACUGAAACAGCCAUUCCGCGUGCAGGAAGAAGGGUCUCUGACUUGUAAACUGCUUUAGCAAGGGAAGAAAAAGCUCAUGCGUGUACGGGACUGACGGUACCUAAAGAAUAAGGAUCGGCUAACUCCGUGCCAGCCGCCGCAGUAAAAC